rnacentral:tRNA from 1 species
GGGCCUAUAGUUCAAUGGAUAGAACACAUGGUUUCGGCCCAUGUAAUCCAGGUUCGAAUCCUGGUAGGCCUA